rnacentral:rRNA from 1 species
GACGAACGCUGGCGGCGUGCCUAAUACAUGCAAGUAGAACGCACAGUUUAUACCGUAGCUUGCUACACCAUAGACUGUGAGUUGCGAACGGGUGAGUAACGCGUAGGUAACCUGCCUGGUAGCGGGGGAUAACUAUUGGAAACGAUAGCUAAUACCGCAUAAUAUUAAUUAUUGCAUGAUAAUUAAUUGAAAGGUGCAAUUGCACCACUACCAGAUGGACCUGCGUUGUAUUAGCUAGUAGGUGAGGUAACGGCUCACCUAGGCGACGAUACAUAGCCGACCUGAGAGGGUGAUCGGCCACACUGGGACUGAGACACGGCCCAGACUCCUACGGGAGGCAGCAGUAGGGAAUCUUCGGCAAUGGACGAAAGUCUGACCGAGCAACGCCGCGUGAGUGAAGAAGGUUUUCGGAUCGUAAAGCUCUGUUGUAAGAGAAGAACGGGUGUGAGAGGGAAAGUUCACA